AUCCACAGGUCGUUUCCACUUGCAAAAGUGGAUCAUUCUAAAGAUUAGACAUGUCAGUAGAACUUGUGCCUGCCCACAAGAAGAACAAGUUAUGAAAACUUGAACAAAAAUAAAUCAACAGUUAGUAAACAGCAAAUCAAACACGAUACACAUGAAUGAUGGUGCCUUUUCCCCUACUGCAUUUUCAAUUGCCGUUCAAUUCUAGCUCAACCACAUAAUUUAAAUAAUAUACCAAUACCGAACAAUAACAGCUUCUGUUUCAAUAACAAGGAAACCAUAAUCCAGUAAAGGAGAAGAAUUUUUGAAGCUUAAUCCAAAAUUUUAUAAUGUGAUUCCAAAAGACAAAUGAAAUUGACUUGAUUUGGCUUUUUUUCCUCUUGCAACAUUUUUCUGGGCAACCAAACGAUAAUUAACAAAAAUAAGAAAAAUGCAAUAGAAAUGUGAGUGGAGAUCUGAGGAGAAAAAGAAACCUGAACAUUGAGAGAUGUGGCAGAGCAGUUUUGGUAAGAUUUCCUUUCCUCUGAAGAAAAACGAGGAAAAUUCUUCUCCUUUUUUCCCUUGAGCAAAUGGGUGAAACAAACGAGUAAUUAUGCGUAAAAUAUUGGGUACAAGAUGAAAUUUUCAUUUAGAAAUGUAGGGAUUGUGAAAGACCAGUUUCUUGGUUGAGAUGAAGAGCGAUGAGCCAAGUUUCUCAAUUGAGAUCAUCAAGAAUAGUGAAUUUUCGUAGCAGAGGGAUGGUGCAUAUAGAGAGAGAGAGAGAGAGA
rnacentral:misc_RNA from 1 species